AGCUCUGUGGUGAAGUUCAUGUUAGAUUGCAAAUCUUGAGAUAUAUCUUAAACUGGUAUCAGCGCUU
rnacentral:tRNA from 1 species